rnacentral:rRNA from 1 species
UACGUAGGGUGCAAGCGUUAAUCGGAAUUACUGGGCGUAAAGCGUGCGCAGGCGGUUAUGCAAGACAGAUGUGAAAUCCCCGGGCUCAACCUGGGAACUGCAUUUGUGACUGCAUGACUUGAGUACGGUAGAGGGGGAUGGAAUUCCGCGUGUAGCAGUGAAAUGCGUAGAUAUGCGGAGGAACACCGAUGGCGAAGGCAAUCCCCUGGACCUGUACUGACGCUCAGGCACGAAAGCGUGGGGAGCAAAC